rnacentral:rRNA from 1 species
UAAUUGAAGAGUUUGAUCAUGGCUCAGAUUGAACGCUGGCGGCAGGCCUAACACAUGCAAGUCGAGCGGUAACAGGGGAAGCUUGCUUCUCGCUGACGAGCGGCGGACGGGUGAGUAAUGUAUGGGGAUCUGCCCGAUAGAGGGGGAUAACUACUGGAAACGGUAGCUAAUACCGCAUAAUCUCUCAGGAGCAAAGCAGGGGAACUUCGGUCCUUGCGCUAUCGGAUGAACCCAUAUGGGAUUAGCUAGUAGGUGAGGUAAUGGCUCACCUAGGCGACGAUCCCUAGCUGGUCUGAGAGGAUGAUCAGCCACACUGGGACUGAGACACGGCCCAGACUCCUACGGGAGGCAGCAGUGGGGAAUAUUGCACAAUGGGCGCAAGCCUGAUGCAGCCAUGCCGCGUGUAUGAAGAAGGCCCUAGGGUUGUAAAGUACUUUCAGUCGGGAGGAAGGCGUUGUUGCUAAUAUCAACA